AUUGAACGCUGGCGGCAUGCUUUACACAUGCAAGUCGAACGGCAGCACGGGUGCUUGCACCUGGUGGCGAGUGGCGGACGGGUGAGUAAUGCAUCGGAACGUGUCCUUAAGUGGGGGAUAACGCAUCGAAAGAUGUGCUAAUACCGCAUAAUCUAUAAGGAGAAAAGUAGGGGAUCGAAAGACCUUAUGCUUUUGGAGCGGCCGAUGUCUGAUUAGCUAGUUGGUGAGGUAAUGGCUUACCAAGGCGACGAUCAGUAGUUGGUCUGAGAGGACGGCCAGCCACACUGGGACUGAGACACGGCCCAGACUCCUACGGGAGGCAGCAGUGGGGAAUUUUGGACAAUGGGCGAAAGCCUGAUCCAGCAAUGCCGCGUGAGUGAAGAAGGCCUUCGGGUUGUAAAGCUCUUUUAGUUGAAAAGAAAAAGUCAUGACUAAUAGUCAUGACUCAUGACGGUAUCAACAGAAAAAGCACCGGCUAACUACGUG
rnacentral:rRNA from 1 species